rnacentral:rRNA from 1 species
GACGAACGCUGGCGGCGUGCCUAAUACAUGCAAGUAGGACGCACAGUUUAUACCGUAGCUUGCUACACCAUAGACUGUGAGUUGCGAACGGGUGAGUAACGCGUAGGUAACCUGCCUAUUAGAGGGGGAUAACUAUUGGAAACGAUAGCUAAUACCGCAUAACAGUAUGUAACACAUGUUAGAUGCUUGAAAGAUGCAAUUGCAUCGCUAGUAGAUGGACCUGCGUUGUAUUAGCUAGUAGGUAGGGUAAUGGCCUACCUAGGCGACGAUACAUAGCCGACCUGAGAGGGUGAUCGGCCACACUGGGACUGAGACACGGCCCAGACUCCUACGGGAGGCAGCAGUAGGGAAUCUUCGGCAAUGGGGGGAACCCUGACCGAGCAACGCCGCGUGAGUGAAGAAGGUUUUCGGAUCGUAAAGCUCUGUUGUUAAGGAAGAAACGAGUGUGAGAAUGGAAAGUUCAUACUGUGACGGACUAAC